UUUAAGCAUAUCCAUCAGUGGAGGAAGCGCAAGCAACAGCGAUUGCUGCAGUAACGGCGAGUGAAGUGGCAGAAUCACGGCUCUUCCCGAAGGGAAUUCCACACAACCCGCGUGCCCGACCCUGAUCGGCGCGUGGGGGAUCGGCUUUCCUGGAUUCCAGAACAGAUGCUGUGGGCAACGGAGUGGAUGGCUGUGUCCUGGGUGAUCCUAGCACCAAGAAGAGUCCUGGAACGGACCACACGAUGAGGAGACUGUCCUGUAUGGAGGCACGCGUGUGCUGGGAUCCACCUGGGGUGUGGCUGUCCACAUCCACGAGUAGAGUGGCUUGGGACUGCAGUUUGAAGUGCGAUGUGUAUCCAUCGCAAGGAAGCAUACAGACCUGGGACCGCUAGCGCAGAAGUAGAGUGAUCGAAGGAUGCAAAGGACUCCGUGAAGAGGGUUAAAAGUCCCUGAAGCCGCAACAGGAACGGUGGUGUGCAGUGCCGCUGGCCAGUCCAGCAAAGACCCUCAGACCUGUCCAGGCGACCUUGAGUCAGCCCUCGGUUGGCCGCUGAGCCCCGACCCCAGGGUCGGGACGACCAUCGCGGCAGCCGGAGGUGGCACCACCGCGUGCCCGGACUCGAGGGAAACCUCGUUCAUCCCAGUGAGAUUAUACGACCGAACUGUGAAUUCGACCCGCAGAGUGAGACGAUUGAUCGAUCGAUCCCAAGAGAGCCACAGUCGAUGCGACACACUGUCGUGUGAUGCCGCUGUGGUCUCACGCCGCCGCUUGUCCUUCUUCCCCUGGUGUGUCUUCGGACAUGUCAGUCACCGGGUGGUUCCCCUGGAUCUCGGGGUGAGCGCCUGUGCGGGGACUGCACCAUCCUGGCAUGGUGGUCACCGUACGUCGGCGCUCCGCUCCCCAGUGGGGUCACGGUGAGAAAUUGGCAGCAGAGCCUGGCGAUCCCUUCGCGGUGCCGCUCUCUGCCCGUCUUGAAACACGGACCAAGGAGUCUAUGGAGCUCGCCUGAGUUGGAUGGCUUUUCCUGUGAUGUCGGCUUAAACCACAGUGCUUGGUGAAGGCAACAAGACACGAUUCCCGACGCGAGCGGGGAGGUCUCACGACCAUCCUCCGGUGCUGCAUGGAAUCACCGGAUCCGCAGUCCAGUGGACAGGGUUUUGAGUGCUUGCGCGGUCCAUGGGACCCGAAAGGUGGUGAACUAUACCAUUCUACGACGAAGCCAUGGGAAACUGUGGUGGAAGUCGGCAGCUGUUCUGACGUGCAAAUUGUGUAGCCUGAGUGUGGCAUAGGGGUGAAAGGCCAAUCGAGCCACCUAGUAGCUGGUUCCCUUCGAAGUUUCCCUCAGGAUAGCUGGGCUCCAGUGAAGCAGACCACGUGUCCCGCAGUGGUUACAUCCGGUAAAGCAACGCAUGAGAGGCCAACCCCGGGGAGCACCGCUCCUCGACCUAUUCUCGAACUGUGAAUGGGUGUGGACCCACGAGGAGGCAUGCUUCUUCGCCACGCCCGGAGGCUGUGUCACAGCAGUCCUCGAAGGCUUCUGAGCAUGUUCGGCCGAGAGAGAUCAACAGCAACAAAACAGAGAGUGUCGUGUGUGCUUUGUUGGUUCGCAGUGCCACGGUCUGUGUCCGCCACCCUCGUGCGAGGUCUGCGGCGCAGCGUAGAGUGGUGACGGGACCAGCACAACCACACACACACACACCUCAGAAUGAGAGUCUGACUGUCUGAUAAUAUCGAGAGCUUGGAACAGAGGUGCCUAUGUGGACCAUUACUGGUAAGCAGUGCUGGUGAUGCGGGGUGCUCCGAGAGCGGACUUACAGAUCCAGAGUGCUGGCUCAUACUCAGAUCCCACAAAGGAUGUUGCUUGCUAUGGAUAGCAGGACGGUGGCCAUGAAGGUUGGAACCCGCUGAGGAAUGUGUAACAACUCACCUGCCGAAGCGAGCAGCUCCGAAAAUGGAUGGUGCCCAAGUCAGAGAAUCUCCCUGACAGUCACGCCAUUGCUGUGGCAGCCAAAGCAGAGCAUCAUUGUGUAGAACGGGCAUGGAAGAUUGCAGAGCCUGCUGGGACCAAUCCCAGCUGUAGUGCCUCCUGGCGCAGAUCUUGGUUGUAGUAGCGAGUACUCCAUCGAGUGAAGAGUGGAACACUCCGCUGUGUGCGGUUGAGGACUGGAGUGGAGCAGGUUUCCACACCAAACAGCCGUUGAAUGUGGGUCAACCGACCGUGAGCCAAGUGGUAAGUUCACCGAACAACCAAAGCUGCCUGGACCCUUCGGGUCUCACACACACACGGACCAAGGACCGAGCCCACGGCCAUAUCAUCCCAGGAUCAUCCCCACCACGACUCGCCGCCCCCUCGCGCGGUGGACGUGGUUUGUUUGGGACUGGGACUGGCUGUGGGCCGAAGUGGGAGUGUCGUCGAUGUGGAUGAUGUUGAGCCUGAGAGAGUGGGCCACUCAGGCGGGAAUGGCAAACAGGAAAGCAAGUGCAACAUUCUGCUGUGAUGGGCUAGAGGUGCUUGUGCGUGGUGGCGACACCACCCAGGCAAGGCCAAGCAGGCCUCGGGACAGUGGAUCCCCUGAGGAGUUCUCGUUUCCUCCUGAUGCAGACUCAUGUGGGCUAUCGAUCGGCAUGACAGAUGGUGGUGUAAGUCCUCCGCUCAGCAAGGCGGUGUGGUCUCCACACCGAUGGACUCUCGAAGGAUUCUAGCAGUGAUCGUUGCAACCAAAAGCUAUGACUCAACACAACAAAGCAAACCCAAUGGCCGUCACUGGCUCCAAUGAACGGCCUGCGGGACUCUCGUGCCUCAGGACCCUGGUCCUCGUACUGUAUCACCGCAGCCGGUCUCCUCGACUAGACGUCGCUUGUCCACGGAUGAAAUGCAGCUAAGGGAAGUCGGCAAACUAGCUGUGCACCUUUGGAAGAUGCAGUGGCUCCAGAAGCCAAGUCGCCAGGCCCUGCCGAGAGCUGUGCGGCGCAGGGGUUCCGAACGCUCUGUCUGGGGUGUCCUGUGACACUCUGUGGAGUUGCUUCGCCCCUGCCUGCACUGAUGGACGAUAUGUUCCCUUCUCUCCGGCAGGGGCAACCUCGGUGUGGUGUCGUGGGGCUUCGGUCCUGCGCUCCCGCCGAGGCCAUCCUGGUGUCUAUCCAGUGGCCCAUGUGGAACUGUUGCUGUGCAGGGGAAUCUGACUGUUUAAUUGAAACACAGCUUUGUGAAGGGAUCAGCUGGCUGAUUCCACGAGGUGACUUCUGCCCAGUGCUCUGAUUGUCAAUGCGAAGAGAUUCAGCCAAGCGCGGGUAAACGGCGGGAGUAACUAUGACUCUCUUAAGGUAGCCAAAUGCCUCGUCAACCAAUUAUUGACGCGCAUGAAUGGAUCAACGAGAUUCCUGCUGUCCCUAGCCGCUGUCUGGUGAACCAACAACCAAGGGAACGGGCUUGGAUGUGUCAGCGGGGAAAG
rnacentral:rRNA from 1 species